rnacentral:rRNA from 1 species
UGAAAGAACUGCCAGUGAUAAGCUGGAGGAAGGUGGGGAUGACGUCAAGUCCUCAUGGCCCUUACGUGUUGGGCUACACACGUGCUACAAUGGCAUCUACAACAGGAAGCAAAACGGCAACGUUAAGCAAAUCCCGAAAAGAUGCCUCAGUUCGGAUUGCACUCUGCAACUCGAGUGCAUGAAGCUGGAAUUACUAGUAAUCGUGGAUCAGCGUGCCACGGUGAAUGCGUUCCCGGGUCUUGUACACACCGCCCGUCACACCAUGGGAGUUGGUUCUACCUUAAGGCAAGGUUUUAAACCCUUGACCACGGUAUAGUCAGCGACUGGGGUGAAGUCGUAACAAGGUAGCCGUAGGGGAACCUGCGGCUGGAUUACCUCCUUU